rnacentral:hammerhead_ribozyme from 1 species
AUCCAACUGAGGAGUCCCAAAUAUGACGAAACACGAUUCCUUGAU